GACAGAGGGUGGUAGCGUUGUUCGGAUUGACUGGGCGUAAAGGGCGCGUAGGCGGUUAUAUUAGUCAGAUGUGAAAGCCCAGGGCUCAACCCUGGAACUGCGUUUGAAACGGUAUGACUAGAGACCGAGAGAGGAAAGUAGAAUUCCUAGUGUAGAGGUGAAAUUCGUAGAUAUUAGGAGGAAUACCAGAGGCGAAGGCGGCUUUCUGGCUCGGUUCUGACGCUGAGGCGCGAAAGCGUGGGGAGCAAACAGG
rnacentral:rRNA from 1 species